rnacentral:rRNA from 1 species
UACAGGGGGGGCAAGCGUUGUUCGGAAUUACUGGGCGUAAAGGGUCUGUAGGUGGCCAACUAAGUCAGACGUGAAAUCCCUCAGCUUAACUGGGGAACUGCGUCUGAUACUGGAUGGCUUGAGUGUGGGAGAGGAAUGCGGAAUUCCAGGUGUAGCGGUGAAAUGCGCAGAUAUCAGGAGGAACACCGGUGGCGAAGGCGGGUCUCUGGGCCGAUACUGACGCUGAGGAGCGAAAGCGUGGGGAGCGAACAGG